CUUGGUCAUUUAGAGGAAGUAAAAGUCGUAACAAGGUUUCCGUAGGUGAACCUGCGGAAGGAUCAUUAACAAAUCAAAUGGUGUUGGGGGUAAAACUCUGACAAACAUUAACCCGAGCCUGUGCAGCAAUGCCGGGCAAGGUGUAGGGAGAGUGAGCUUGCUUUCUCUCCCUGCGGUGACGGAUUGGACGCCUCACGGUGUCUAGUCUCGAUCCACAUAGACGCUUUUUUUGUUUGACAGUAUCAGUUGACACUUUAAAAAUGACAACUUUUAGCAAUGGAUCUCUUGGCUCUUGCAACGAUGAAGAACGCAGUGAAAUGCGAAACGUAAUGCGAUUUGCACGAAUCUGUGAGUCAUCAAGUCUUUGAACGCACCUUGCACCAUAUGAGCAAUUGUAUGGUAUACCUGUUUGAGAAUCGUAAAACAACCAUCAUCCCUUCUGGGGUGGAAUUGUCGGAUUCACACGUCAUGUGUUCGAUCAAAUGAAUUAGGUUUGGAUCAGGCUAGUGGCCUGAGACACUGUGUGCUAGAGACUUAAGAAGCCUUUGCGGGCUGAUUGUCUUCUCAUGGUGCGUCUCAGGUCAAUUUAAAGCUAGCCUGCAAAGGACCUUUAACUGCGCUAGAGUUCUUCUCUAGGCAACCCCCCAAAUCAUUGAUCUCAAAUCAGGUAAGGCUACCCGCUGAACUUAAGCAUAUCAAUAAGCGGAGGA
rnacentral:rRNA from 1 species